AAGUCGUAACAAGGUCUCCGUUGGUGAACCAGCGGAGGGAUCAUCACUAGGUAGUAAAAAAACCUCCAAACCCCAUGUGAACUUACCCUAUGUUGCUCGGCAGGACCUACCCCGGGCCUACCCUGUAUACCCUUGUAGCCUCCCGGUGGACCAUCUAAACUCUUGUUUUUUUAUAGAAAAUCUGAACGUUUAUUAAAUAAGUCCAAAAA
rnacentral:misc_RNA from 1 species